rnacentral:misc_RNA from 1 species
AAAAAAGUCAUUCUUAUGGGAAAAACCUGACUGUGACCAGUCAAAUUUGAGGAGGAUGUCAGCUAAAUAAUCGGGACAGGGCAUUGAAUGAAAAUUUAGAGAAAGUAUUUCUUUCCUGUUUUGGUCAUUCUGCUAUGUCAUGACUUCUGAAAGGAAUUCAAUUUAUGAUCAUGAUACUAAGGUUUUUCAGGAUUUUUUUGCUUUAGCUGUUUUAGUAAUUAUAAGUUAAGGGCACAAGUGUGGGAUG